rnacentral:rRNA from 1 species
UCAGUAACACGUAGUCAACAUGCCCAUAUAGGACAUGGAUAACCUCGGGAAACUGAGGAUAUAACCGCGUAUAGGCCCAAGGUUUCUGGAAUGAGCCAUGGCCGAAAUCUAUAUGGCCUUUGGAUUGGACUGCGGCCGAUCAGUGCUGUUGGUGAGGUAAUGGCCCACCAAUACCUGUAACCGGUACGGGCUUUGAGUAGUAAGGAGCCCGGUAGAGGGGCACUGAGACAAAGGCCCAGGCCCUAUGGGGCGCAGCAGGCGCGAAUACCUCUGCAAUAGGCGAAAGCUUGACAGGGUUACUCUGAGUGAUGCCCGGCUAACGGGUAUCGGUGUUGGCACCUCUACAAAUG